rnacentral:rRNA from 1 species
UAACAAUCGAAACCGCAUGGUUUUGAUUUGAAAGGCGCUUUCGGGUGUCGCUGAUGGAUGGACCCGCGGUGCAUUAGCUAGUUGGUGAGGUAACGGCUCACCAAGGCCACGAUGCAUAGCCGACCUGAGAGGGUGAUCGGCCACAUUGGGACUGAGACACGGCCCAAACUCCUACGGGAGGCAGCAGUAGGGAAUCUUCGGCAAUGGACGAAAGUCUGACCGAGCAACGCCGCGUGAGUGAAGAAGGUUUUCGGAUCGUAAAACUCUGUUGUUAGAGAAGAACAAGGAUGAGAGUAACUGUUCAUCCCUUGACGGUAUCUAACCAGAAAGCCACGGCUAACUACGUGCCAGCAGCCGCGGUAAUACGUAGGUGGCAAGCGUUGUCCGGAUUUAUUGGGCGUAAAGCGAGCGCAGGCGGUUUCUUAAGUCUGAUGUGAAAGCCCCCGGCUCAACCGGGGAGGGUCAUUGGAAACUGGGAGACUUGAGUGCAGAAGAGGAGAGUGGAAUUCCAUGUGUAGCGGUGAAAUGCGUAGAUAUAUGGAGGAACACCAGUGGCGAAGGCGGCUCUCUGGUCUGUAACUGACGCUGAGGCUCGAAAGCGUGGGGAGCAAACAGGAUUAGAUACCCUGGUAGUCCACGCCGUAAACGAUGAGUGCUAAGUGUUGGAGGGUUUCCGCCCUUCAGUGCUGCAGCUAACGCAUUAAGCACUCCGCCUGGGGAGUACGACCGCAAGGUUGAAACUCAAAGGAAUUGACGGGGGCCCGCACAAGCGGUGGAGCAUGUGGUUUAAUUCGAAGCAACGCGAAGAACCUUACCAGGUCUUGACAUCCUUUGACCACUCUAGAGAUAGAGCUUCCCCUUCGGGGGCAAAGUGACAGGUGGUGCAUGGUUGUCGUCAGCUCGUGUCGUGAGAUGUUGGGUUAAGUCCCGCAACGAGCGCAACCCUUAUUGUUAGUUGCCAUCAUUCAGUUGGGCACUCUAGCAAGACUGCCGGUGACAAACCGGAGGAAGGUGGGGAUGACGUCAAAUCAUCAUGCCCCUUAUGACCUGGGCUACACACGUGCUACAAUGGGAAGUACAACGAGUUGCGAAGUCGCGAGGCUAAGCUAAUCUCUUAAAGCUUCUCUCAGUUCGGAUUGCAGGCUGCAACUCGCCUG